rnacentral:rRNA from 1 species
GAACCGGACAAACGUUAUUCGGGAAUUAUUGGGGCUUAAAGGGGUGCGUAGGCGGCGUGGCAAGUUGGAUGUGAAAUCCCUCGGGCUCAACCGAGGGAACUGCGUCCAAAACUGCCAUGCUUGAGGGAGACAGAGGUGAGCGGAACUUAGGGUGGAGCGGUGAAAUGCGUUGAUAUCCUAAGGAACACCAGUGGCGAAGGCGGCUCACUGGGUCUCUUCUGACGCUGAGGCACGAAAGCUAGGGGAGCGAACGGGAUUAGAUACCCCGGUAGUCCUAGCUGUAAACGAUGAGCACUUGGUUGGAGGAUUGUCACUGAUUUUCCGGCCGGAGCGAAAGUGUUAAGUGCUCCGCCUGGGGAGUAUGGUCGCAAAGGCUGA